CAUGAAUUGCAUAAACCAUCCAAACAAUCCCUUGAUGAAAAGCCAGUUUAGAGCUUCUGGAGUAAACCUGGGAGGAAAAAUUAAAAUUGUUGCAGGAAAUGUACCACAAUAUUAAGGACAAGAGCUAACCACAACAACUAAAAAGGAAGUCAUUUAACUGGGACAAUUUUUUCAGACACCAUUUGAAAAAAGGUCAUUUAACUGGGACAAUUUUUUCAGACACCAUUUGAAAAAGUAAUUUAUGUUUACAGUGAGACCUCAACUCAUACUCUUUCAGUUGCCUAUAAGCCACAAGCAUAUGAGUUAUGUCUAUAAAAAGUUUACUUCGAAUUUUCACA
rnacentral:lncRNA from 1 species